AUUGAACGCUGGCGGCAGGCCUAACACAUGCAAGUCGAGCGAGCGGCGGACGGGGGAGUAAUGUAUGGGGACUGCCCGUUAGAGGGGGAUAACUACUGGAAACGGUAUCUAAUACCGCAUACUAUCGGAUAACCCAUAUGGGAUUAGCUAGUAGGUGGGGUAAUGGCUCACCUAGGCGACGAUCCCUAGCUGGUCUGAGAGGAUGACCAGCCACACUGGAACUGAGACACGGCCCAGACUCCUACGGAGGCAGCAGUGGGGAAUAUUGCACAAUGGGCGCAAGCCUGAUGCAGCCAUGCCGCGUGUAUGAAGAAGGCCUUAGGGUUGUAAAGUACUUUCAGUCGGGAGGCGUUACCGGCAGAAGAAGCACCGGCUAACUCCGUGCCAGCAGCCGCGGUAAUUC
rnacentral:rRNA from 1 species